rnacentral:rRNA from 1 species
CUCUUCCGGGAGGCAGCAGUGGGGAAUCUUGGACAAUGGGGGAAACCCUGAUCCAGCCAUGCCGCGUGAGUGAUGAAGGCCUUAGGGUUGUAAAGCUCUUUCGCCAGAGAAGAUAAUGACGGUACCUGGAGAAGUAGCCCCGGCUAACUCCGUGCCAGCAGCCGCGGUAAUACGGAGGGGGCUAGCGUUGUUCGGA